CUUGAGGCCCUGUUAUGGGGUUGUGUUUGAUGAAGGUUGCCCUUUGGGGCGGCAGCUGCAGCUCCGCCAGAUGCAGCAGCAGCACCUCCAACCGGCACGACGGCGGUGACAGCACAAAUGGUCACCUGUGUGACAUUUUAGAUCAUCAUUACAGAAUUUAAUUUAUUUAUUCAAGACGCAAGCAGCAAAGGUAGUGUCCACCUUCGCAUAUAGAACCGAGCAUAGAUUUACAGCACAUCAAUGAUUCAAGUAGUUCAAGACUUAAUUACUUUUUCAAUAUCAGGGUAAGAGAUAUGGAACAAAAAUGCACAAAUGGUGCCUAUUGAGUGAGAGCAAGCAAUAUAAAGGGGCACAACUGUGUGAAACUGUUAUCAGCAUUGUUUCAAAGUUUACUGUGGCAUAUUUUUCAUGAUCAGUAUGACUUCUUAUAAAUAAUAACCAAUAGUACUGCCGCCAGAUCCUUACACAUGUAUAAUGGCAUGAAUAGAGCGAUAGAGCAAUGCCCAAUCCUUACACAUGUAUAAUGGCGUGAAUAUGCAAGUUAGACCUAGAUGUUACUAACAAGUGUUAUUUGCAUAAUUAAUGAAUAAGUGUGGUAUUUCUGACUAGCCAGAAUCAAUCUUUGUGCAUACAUCUGGCCAUGUUGUUCCUUGCCAAAUAAGCUCCCAAAAGCAAUAUUAAUAAAAUUGAAACAGAAUAACAUUUACAGGACUACAUGAACCACAACAAGAAAUUUUCUGUUGCGAGUAAGCUACUUGCCUUUGUCCAUUUGCUCCCACCAAGUCAAUCUAUUAUACAUCCCUUGAUCAUCAGCGAAUGGAGUUCCCUUCUUCCAGUGGAAGAAGAUGUAUGUAAUCUGAAAUGAAGAUUCAGUUAGGAAAGCAAUGACAAUGGAGAAAUAAUUUCUAGAUAGUAUGUUUCAAGCUAUAAUCUUAUGAGAAAAAUAGCAAUAAUUUGUACUUCCAGAAUUGAGGUUGGGCCAACUAGAACUACAGUAUUUACUGCCAGAAUGAUUUCAUGAAUUUUGCCACUACAUGAUUAUAUUUAAAGUAGCAAAAGAAUUAUUAAAUGCAGGCUAUUUAUUUGGCUACUAUGAAACAGUAAACCUUCAAACUAGAAUACACUUUAUUAGUUGGCAGGAUUGGCGAAUGCAUCGUAGCAAUCUAAGAAACAGAAGUGCAUUUCUAUGUGGUAAAAUGAUGUGCCUAGUUGCUGAAAAAUGAUGUUUAUUUAUGUUGACAGAAUGCUUUUGAGGAGUUGGCAUCCAUUUCUUAUUGAGCUAUACAAGGAGGCUAGAAUUGAGCAUUGUCGUGCAACUAGGGACUUGAGUAGCUACGGCUGCUAUGUGCAACAUGUGCUCAUCAACAACAAAAAUUCCCACGCUCAUCAAUUAGUAGAAAUGAAACUGAUAGUAGUAUAGUAGGUGUGGUCUAGUCCUAGCAGCAAAAAAACUUGUCACUUAUGCAUCAAGAGAGGGGGGCUACCAAAUUGAGUUGCUCUUUCAUCCAUGGUGGCAUCCCUGCAUCCAUGUAGCUGCUACUGCUGCUGACCUUGAAGAUGCAGCUCGUCGUUCCGCUGUUGUACCAAACAAACCUUGUCGCUGCUGCACGCAUAAUAACAAAUAAGAAGUGGUUUGUCAGAUCAAACCGGAACCUUCCAUGAGAGAGAGAGAGGGAGAGGGAGGGAGGGAGAUUUCAAACCUUCCAUGGGCAGUAGCUAGGAGGAGUAGGCAGAGCAGAGGAGGGAGCAGCAUCUAGGAGGAGGAGGCAGAGCAAAGGAGGGAGCAGCAGCAGCACCAGAGCUACCUGCACAAAAAACAAACAAACAAACGCAGGAAUUAGAAGUGAGGAGAAGAAGAAAUGGCCGGCUGCCGACUGCCGGAAUUGUCGGAGAUGGCUAGCUGCCGACUCGCGUUUGCCAUGGACGUCUCCGCCACCGCGCCCUCAUUGCCCGGUCCCCAUCCAUUCAUUGGUGGGUGGGUGAAGGGCUACGGUGUCGGGCCUCAUCCGCCCAUGGGUCAGACGGACCUGAGGGAGGGAGAGCUAGGGAGCGAGGGAGGGAGGUCGNNNNNNNNNNNNNNNNNNNNNNNNNNNNNNNNNNNNNNNNNNNNNNNNNNNNNNNNNNNNNNNNNNNNNNNNNNNNNNNNNNNNNNNNNNNNNNNNNNNNNNNNNNNNNNNNNNNNNNNNNNNNNNNNNNNNNNNNNNNNNNNNNNNNNNNNNNNNNNNNNNNNNNNNNNNNNNNNNNNNNNNNNNNNNNNNNNNNNNNNNNNNNNNNNNNNNNNNNNNNNNNNNNNNNNNNNNNNNNNNNNNNNNNNNNNNNNNNNNNNNNNNNNNNNNNNNNNNNNNNNNNNNNNNNNNNNNNNNNNNNNNNNNNNNNNNNNNNNNNNNNNNNNNNNNNNNNNNNNNNNNNNNNNNNNNNNNNNNNNNNNNNNNNNNNNNNNNNNNNNNNNNNNNNNNNNNNNNNNNNNNNNNNNNNNNNNNNNNNNNNNNNNNNNNNNNNNNNNNNNNNNNNNNNNNNNNNAGGGCAGCGGCCAUGGUCGGAGCCGCGGGGUGUGUGUGUCCGUGUCUCGGUGGCCGGUCGGAACUCGGGAAUGGGGAGGAGCCACCGCUGGGGGAGCGUGCGCGAGCAGGAGAGGAUGAGGGGGGAGAGUGAGGCGGGCGGCGAGAUUGGAUCUGGGGAGGGGAUAGGGUUUGGGUGGUUGGAGGGGAUGAGGAGGGAGAAGGGGGCGGCGACGAUGGAUCCGGGGAGGGGAUAGGGUUUGGGUGGUUGGGCUGCCCGGGGGUGGGGUUCUUUUCCUUUCUUUCUAUUUUUUUCUUUAGAUAAAUGCGAUGGAUGGAUGGAUGCCAUGUCGUUGAUCCACGUCACAAACAUUUCAACCAAUAAGAACAAAGCUUAUGUAAUUGUAUUUUUCUAUUUGUUUCUCUUGUAUUUUUUUGCAUUGUGUCAUUAUAUGUGAUCAAGUUACCAACAAAAAUUAUAAACUUGUAAUAUGGUUAUUAUUUUUAAAAACUGUUCUCACAAACGAGCUAUCAAGCGUGAAGAUGCAUGGCUUUCAACCCAAAUGCUCAAUCUUAUGGCUACAUUCAUGGAUAGUUUGUUCAAAUGAUCUCAUAUUGUGCACAAGGGUGCAUAUUGGAAUGACAAACAAUGUUGCCGAAGGGAGUUUUCAUUUUCUUUACACGGAAAAUUCAUUUUCCAUUUUUCGAGUGCCCGAAAUGAGUUUAUUUUGUGAAGGACCUAGCAUAUAUUUGUUGCAAAAUUGGACCUAAUCAAUUUUCUAAAAUACUAGGACAUAUUUAAUGCACAAUUAUCAAAAUGGUUGGUCGUCAAAAGUUUUGAUCCACCUCUGGUGAAAAAGACAAAUUCCCGCCGAUUUAGUAGGAAGCGGGUCAAAUUUGAACUACAGCUGCCUCAUAGUUUGAUAUUUAUUUUUUUCCAAAAAUCAUUUCUAGGUAUAUAAUUAUCUAUUUAAUCAUAGAAACACCAAAAGUUUUCCAAGAUUCAACCACUAGCUAGGAACGGUCAAGCCCGCCAUUUUGACCGCAUUUUGAAACGGGCAUAAAAAUUUCAAAAAAAAUCAGAAAUUUGGAAAACCUUCACAUUGUGUCAUUAUAUGUGACCAAGUUUCCAGGAAAAACAAUAAACUUGUAAUACAGAAAUUGUUUUUAAAAAGUGUUCUCGGAAAUGAGCUAUCAUGCGUGAAGAUUUAUGGCUUUCAAGCCAAAUGAUCAAUCUUAUGGCCACAUUGAUGGCAUAGUUUGUUCAAAUGAUCGCAUAUCGUGCACAAGGGUGCAUCUUGGAAUUCCAAACAAUGUUGCCUAACGGAGUUUUCAUUUUCUUUGCACGGAAAAUACAUUUUCCAUUUUCCGAGUGCCCGAAAAGAGUUUUUUUUGUGAAGGACCUACCAUAUAUUUGUUGCAAAAUUGGACCAAAUCAAUUUUAUAAAAUACUAGUCCAUAUUUAAUAUACAAUUGACCAAAUGGUUGGGUGUGAAAAGCUUUGAUCCACCUCUCAUGAAAAAGACAAAUUUCCGCCGGUUCAGUUGAAAGCGGGUCAAAUUUGCACUGCAGUUACCUCAUAGUUUGCUCUUUAUUUUUUCCAAAAAUCAUUUCUAGGUACAUAAGUAUCUAUUUAAUCAGAGAAACAUCAAAAGUUUUCCAAGAUUCAACCACUAGCUAGGAACGGUCAAGCCCGUCGUUUUGACCGCAUUUUAAAACGGGCAUAAAAAAUUCAAAAAACCAAAAAAUUGGAAAACCUUCGCAUUGUGUCAUUAUAUGUGAUCAAGUUUCCAGGAAAAAUAAUAAAUUUUUAAUAUGGUAAUUAUUUUAAAAAAGUGUUCUCGGAAAUGAGCUAUCAAGUGUGAAGAUUAAUGGCUUUCAAGCCAAAUGAUCAAUCUUAUGACCACAUUCAUGGCAUAGUUUGUUCAAAUGAUCUUAUAUUGUGCACAAGGGUGCAUCUUGGAAUUCCAAACAAUGUUGCCUAAGGGAGUUUUCAUUUUCUUUUCACAGAAAAUACAUUUUCCAUUUUCUGAGUGUCCGAAAUGACCUUUUUUGUGAAAGACCUACCAUAUAUUUGUUGCAAAAUUGGACCUAAUAAAUUUUAUAAAAUACUAGGCCAUAUUUAAUGCACAACUGACAAAAUGGUUGGGUGUCAAAAGUUUUGAUUCACCUCUGGUGAAAAAGACAAAUUCCCGUUGAUUCAGGUGGAAGCAGGUCAAAUUUGAACUGCGGCUGCCUCAUAGUUUGCUCUUUUUUUUCCAAAAAUCAUUUCUAGGUAAAUAAGUAUCUAUUUAAUCAGAAAUACAUGGUUUGAUGGCGAGACAUCGAGGUUUGGAUGGUGGCUGAGGGCCCCAACUCUAGAGCGCGUAAGCUCGCAUGCCCGCCGCGUGGUCACCGCGUGAUCGUGGCGUUGCCAUGUGUUCUGGGCGGCCUAGGCAUGUCUAGUGGGUUGGGCACUCCCCAGAUAGGUGCUAGGAAGAAAAUCACAACAUAAGAUUCUCAUGAGGAGACCGAUCGAUGCUCAAACAUGAAUAAGCAGCCAAGUGUUUGAUUUGCGGUACGGGAAAUGCACAUGGCUAAUGGGCGUGAGUUUUGGCUGAGGAUGAUCAGCUACUAAGAAGACCGUCUUCACAAAUUUUCACCUCAAAAGGAGGAGCCUAGGUGGUACUUGUUUUGCAAAGUACCACACUGGACAUAAAUACAAAUGUUGAAGCUGGGCUCAAAAUAAUGAAUGGAUUGAGCUGGCAUUUGGUGGAGGAUGGUUAUUUGGGCAUAGGGAAGCACUAUAGAAAAUGGAUACCAUUUGGACAUGCCAAAGUGGUACUUCCUUCACAAAGUGCUGCUCUGAACAAAAUAGGAAAAUGAAUAUUGUUGAGUUACUUUUGAACUAGGCAAGGAAUGUUUUUGACAUAUUUGAUGAACAUAUGAUCCAAACAAUUUAUGAGAAUUUUUUGGGAAUUUUCGAAAUAACAGAAAUAUAGGUUGCUUCACAACCUAGGACAAAAAUUGACACAUGGACAUGACAUAGGCAAAACUGAUGAGAUGGCGCCUAGUCAUCACAACCCAUCACAAUCUACAAAACUAUGACCAUCUAUAUUGGUCGUUAACAACUAGAAAUAAGGCAGCGGACCAGCACUAUUUGCUUUAUGACCAUUUCGUGUAAGGAAAUUACGACCUUUCUGAACAAAAUGGUCGCAAUGGUUUAGGGUUUGGAGCCCCCCAAACAGGUUUUGACCAAUUGGUAUCAAAUGGUCAUAGAUCUAUGAUCAAUUCUUCCAGCGUCACUCACAGAAGGUCACUAGUUAACAUAUUUCUUGUAGUGUGGAUGCGGCGGUAGGAGCUUUCUUAAUGUAACAGACAUUCAGUACACAUAGUAGAGUGGCAUUGUCUGCAGUGUUGAUUCCUCUGUCCAAUCAUUUCUAGGAGCUUCCUUUUGUGCAAUGGUGCAUCUCAUCUUGAGUUGUACUGUUUUUUUCUUAUUUAACAAAACACAAUGAUUUUGCCACGUGCAUCCCUCAAUCCUUGCCAUGUCUAUCCCUCGAUGCUCUUCCAGAUUUUUGCAAUGUGCAUCUACAAAAACAUGGCAAAUUUCUGAAUUUUUAAAUUAAUGGUAUAUGGCAAAUUUAAGAUAAGCUGCUUACCAUAUACUCCCUUCGUAAACUAAUAUAAGAGUGUUUAGAUUCAAUUCCGUGCCGACGGCCUGGAUCUGAUCACCCGCCCGCUGCAUCCCUUGCUGGCGUUGCAGCCCUACACUUAUAUAGUGGGGUGGAGGUGGUGGUGAUGCGUGAUUGGUCAUGCCGGCGCUAUCUGCCCGUCUGCGGCCGCGAUGAGCUAGGCCAUGGGGUGCAUCCACUCCACUUUGAAGGAGAGGCAACACCCUUCUUGCUACGAGGAUCCUGUCCACCUCGCUCUCUGGACCAUGUGUGAACUCGCUUGCAUCCUUUCCCCCGUUUUUCUAGGUAACCAAUUACAUGAACAACCUUCCAUGAAUGCAGCUUCCACUUCAUGUCACAAAAAAAGGAAAAUGGAUCUAGCUUCUGUUAGUUUGCCAUCUUCUCCUUGAGAAUAUAACGACUAAAUUUGUCAUGUCACCAUUUACAAAUUCAGAAAAAUGGCCGUGUUUUUUUAGAGAAUGAACUCGUUAAUUUGUAGUUUUUCAAUCAUGGCAACCCCCUAUGCAUAUUGUAUAUCCUUUUUGCCAUGUUAUUCUAGAAAACACGGCAAUUUUCUUAGCUUGUUUUUAGUUUGUACAUGGCAAAAAUAAAGCAGAACAAGUUUUCUGUGAAAACAUGGCAAUUUCCGUUAAGCAACAUGGAAAUUCUUGUUAAAACCACAUGGCAAGUCAUAAGGAAUUUUUUAUUAAGUAAAAUCAAAUGGCAAAAUUAGUUGUUCCAUGGCAAUUUCCUUUUUUCUUUUUCAUGAUGGCAAAUUUAUUUUUUGUACCAUGGCUUCUUCUCUAUCUUCUUUUCAUGAUGGCAAGUUUAUUUUAGUACCAUGGAAAAAUGUAUUAUUCGAUCGUGGAAAUUUCCAUGUUCGUAGAACAUGGCAAAUUGUACUAUUUUGUCAUGGCAAAUUAUACUAUUCUAUCAUGGCAAUUUUCAACCCGCAUUUUACCAUGGUUAUUUUCAGCCUGUAGGCCUAAAGAACAUGGCAACUUUCCUUUUUGUAGCAUGGUUAAUUUAUUUUUUAUUACCAUGGCAAAUUUCAUUUUGCAUUUGCUAUUGCAAUUUUUUCUUUUUCUUACCCAUGGGAAAUUUACCUUUACUGCCAUGGCAAAAUUACAUAUCUUGCCAUGUCAAUUUUUUAAUUUUUUUUAUUCUGCCAUGGCAAUAUUUCCUUUUGCUUUGUCAUGGCAAAUUUUGGAUUCAUUGACAUGGCAAUUUUCACCAUUUGUUUCCCACGACAAUAUUUUCAUUCAUUGAGAUGGAAAAUUUACAUUUAUUGUCACGGCAAAUUUACUUCAACAUACAUGGCAACAUUUUGCUUUUUGGUUUCGCCAUGGCAAUAUUUUUCAUUAAUUGACAUGGCAAACUUGCAUUUAUUGCCAUGGCAAUUUUAGUUUAACAUACAUGGCAAAAUUUCCCUUUUUAGUUUUUCCAUGGCAAUUUUCCCUUUUGUUGCCCUGGGCAAAUUCAUGUCUACUGUCAAGGCAAAAGUACUUCAACAUACAUGGCAAACUUUAACUCUUUGUUUUGCUUUUACAUGGCAAUUUCUUUUUUUUCUUGAUUUUCCAUGUUGGCGAAAUUAUAUUUUCUACCAUGGUAAUUUUAUUUUCUGUAUCACGGCAAAUUUCAUUUUCCCGCCAUGGCAUUUUUUUCCUUUUCUGUUAUUUUUUUAGCAUGAUGGCAUUUUCAUUUUAACACCAUGGAAAUUUUAUUUAUUGUAACGUGGCAAAUUAUUCUGUUGGACCAUGGCAAUUUUUUUCUUUUUCUUUACUUUUCAUGAUGGCAACUUUAUUUAGUUACGUCGCAAAGUUUUUCUUGUAACAUGGACGAUAAAAAUUGUCUACCAUGGCAAGCUCAUUUUUGUGCAUACAUCCUCCCUUUUUCAAUUUUUUCGAUAAAAUUCUUUUUAAGUAAAUUAUUUUUGAAAUAAAACAUGGUGAUUUUUCUCUAAUAACAAUAAAAAUUAUGUUUUCGUCUUUUUUUUUUUACUAUGAUGGCCAUUUUAUAUGAUUACCAUGGCAGUUUUAUUUUUUAUGUAUUAUACCAUUGGACCAUGGCAAAUUAUUUUUCUUCUUAUUGUUCAUGAUGGCAACUUUAUUAAAUAAUUCUUUUCGGGAUGACAAGUCAUGAUGAAGCCCAGAGCGAAUGUCAAUUGGUUAAUGAAAAGAAAAACAAAUCUGGGCUUUAAUUUGUAUCAGAGAAAAAAAUUAAUUUUGUCGUUCAGGAGGAGAGCCCCCGAGCGGAACUAAUUUUGUUCAGGCCGGAACUAAUUUUGUUUCCCACGACAAUAUUCGAACGGCAAUAUUUUCCCUCGUACCGAGCUUCAGUUCGGACCGCUCGCGUCCCGGCCCGAACGUUCGGCAUAUAUCGAGGUCCUUUAUUAUACAUUCAAAUUCUUUUUUUUCUAUUUUUGAGCACCAGUACAGACACAAGCGUUCAUAUACACGCGCAUACACUCACCUCUAUGAACGCACUCACGCACACCCUAUCCCUAUGAGCACCUCCGAGACCUUGAGCCGGCAUAUCAUCUUAAGAUCACCGGAAAUUCUGAAAUAAAUCCAGGAAUAAUGCGAGCACCCGGAUUUGAACCCUGAUGGGUUGGGGAUACCACUGUCCACCUAAGCAUCUCAACCACUGGUUGAUUCGCAUUAUACAUUCAAAUUCUCUUAAUGUGGCGUAAUUAGUAAAAGAGUUUCACUUUGAUGCAUGAGCAACAAAUGGAAACGUUUGAAACCAUAAAAACAAAUUUAUAGCGCCAGCAUCUAAUUACUCCUUAUGCUCUUGUUAUAUAUAGUUCGAGUCUGACAAAGAAACAAAUGAGACGACCAUGGCCCCUCUCCAAGCUCUCUCCUCCGUCCUCGUCCUCCUGCUCCUCACACAGCACGCGCGCACGGCGAGGGCGAGCACGCUAGAGGACACGUGCAGGCUCGUCGGCACCGGCAGGGCGCAGGACUACGACUUCUGCGUGAAGACACUGGGGGCGGACCCGGCAAGCGCGACGGCCGACGAGCUCGGCCUGGUGGUCAUCGCGGUGAGGAUCGCCAUGGCGACCGCCAAGGCCACCGGCGACCGCAUCGCCCGGCUGCAGGCCUCCGAGACGUCGCCCCGGCGGCGGCUGGUCCUGGACGAGUGCGCCAAGGACUACGCCUCGACAGUGCGCUGGCUGGGGCGCGCCUCCAUGGACUUGGCCGCGGGCGGGGACGAGGACCGGCUGACGGAGGCGGCCACCCUGCUGGAGCACGUUCGUGGCACGCCGGCGCGCUGCGACAAGGCGUUUGUCCUCUGGGCCGGCGAGAGGACGCCACUGACCGACGCGGACCACGAGCUCAACGGGGUGACCGUGCUGGCGUUGAAAAUCUUGCGCCAUUGCUUAAAUGACGGGGCAAAAUGAGCAAGUAGCACGAGGCCUUCUUCUACCUCCGGAAGAAAAUGAUCAUCUUUUCCGGCAGUGCAAUAUGUGAUGUGCAACAAUAAAAUGAGUAAUAAUAAUAACUUGCAAAAUUUCCAAUGGAGAUUGUAGAACGCUGUGGUCUUAUCAGUAUUUAUUUAUUUCAAAAAUGACGCUGAAGAUUUUCUCUGAUUCACAAGAGUUCAUUCAGAUCAGGCGAGGAAGGUUACCGUUCGAUUUUCACUGACAAUUAGGUUUUUGAUUGAGGGUUCUGUGAUUGUCCAGCUACAUGUCUUGUGUACGUGGUACCUUUCUCUGACUCUUCUUUUCAUUAUGUAACCUCUCUGGCCUUUACAAAAAAGACGUUCUCAUAACUAAAUGUCUUUCUUGUGAUUCUGAUAGGCCCACCUACGACACAUGCAUGUACACCAUGUUUCUCUACUGUAAUUUAAUGUUAUAUUUAGAUGUUACAAAAAAAUUAUUUACAUGUUACACAAAAGAGCUCAGGGUUCACUUAGAGGAAUAAUUGCUUUGCAGGUAUACAUUUACUGAAAGGGACUGAUGUGCUGAACUUUCGAGAAUUCCGAUUGGUCGUUAAUAUAACCUUUUCUCCUUUUGUUGAAAUGUCCGAAGGAAUUUCCCUUAUUUUAGGUUUUCAACUUGAGGAGUUUCAUGCUUUUUGAGUGGAGCCAUCCACAUAUAUAAUAUGAUUCUCAAAAAUUCAUUAUGAGGUAAAAUCAUUAUAUACAUAUUGUUUCCUGUAUUUUUUAUGUGAGUAGGGCCAGCUUAUUGCAUGAUUAAUAAGACAUUUUUGUGUAGUUCACCGUUUAUUUUAUUAUGUCUGUAUAAACAAGAUUUUUUGGUUAUUUGGCCUCACAAAUGUUCUUUCUUGAACAGCAACCAUCAGAGAACAAGAACAACAAUAGUGAUGAGAAAGGAAGGAGGCGAGUAUGCCACACACUGAUAAGAUGGUUUCCCCUGUGUUCUCUAUAUAUGGUAAUCCACUUUUCACUGACUCAAAUUGUUUACUGGUGAGCUAACAAGAUGGUAUUGUGUCUUCCCUCUUUCUUUGUAAGUGAAUGACUUCAGGUUCUUGGGCAUUAUUCAACUGCUAUACUUGUGGGAAAUAAAUGUACUAAACUUGUGAGAUGGAUUGAUUAAUGGGCCGUGAAAUGGGAUUAGGGCUCGCAAUUUACAAACAAUGAGUUGCAACUAUAAAGAAUGGAUUGAUUAAUGGGCAGUGGAAUGGGAUUAGGGCUCGCAAUUUACAAACAAUGAGUUGCAACUAUAAAUAAUGGAUUGAUUAAUGGGCAGCGAAAUGGGAUUAGGGCUCUGCAUAGUUAUGAGUUGCAACUACAAAGAAUGGAUUGAUUAAUGGGUAGUAGAAUGGGAUUAGGGCUCUGCACAGUUAUGAGUUGCAACUACAAAGAAUGGAUUGAUUAAUGGGUAGUGGAAUGGGAUUAGGAAUCGCAAUUUACAAACAACUCAAAAACCUUGGGUACGUGGUUGAAAAGAAAAUGAAUCAUUGAAAUGCUUCUGCCUCCCAAAGAGGCGUACCGGCAUUUUCAUCGAAGGGAAAAUGUUCCAGAAUCUGGGGGUUUCAUCACUUGCUACUGUAACUGUUGUGUGUAAACAUGAGAGGUGCGCCUCUCAUUACAUUCCAUAUUUGCUUGAAUGCAAAUGUUUUAACUAUUAUUAUCAAGAACAGUAAAACUGCACCUAAUCCCUUGCCUCUCACGCCAUCAGUUGUUUGGACCGUUCGUUUUCAAGAUUGGAAUGUUUCUGGCCGUUGGAUACACGUGAAUCUCUCGUUCGUGUGAAGACAUGACCACAGCUUGACCCUGAUGUCUUAAGAGCAGCUAUUCCGGUAGCUUUUUUGGAGUACUGUCAUUAAUUGGGCCAGACAGCCCAUCUAAGGAAGCCGCAGGUCCGGUCUGCACAGCACUAGAAAAAAAUAACGAGCCUGCGAUGUCGUCACUUCUCCGUCGCCGUUCCUCCUUCCCGCAGCCACUCCUGCGCGUGGCGGCUAGGGUUAAGACCAUCUGAUCUGAUGCGGCGCGGUACGGGCCUCACAGAUCGAUGUGGUGCGAGCGAUGCAGGCAGCUGAUGCGGUAGGACAUGGGAUUGGAAGCGACUGGCGGCCGAAUUGAAGCUGGCCCGCCGGCAUAAAAGCAGUGAAGCAUCAGUUCGUGGUAGCCAUGUUGGAAUUUGCUAGUGGGCUUUUGGCCCAAAGCCCAAAUAAAAUUCUGAAAUUCUCUUGGCCCAUUCAUGCACACAUGUGAGUGGAGUGAGUGAGGCUAAAGUUUAGUCCCACCUCAUAUGUUCAGAGAGAGUUGCACCUCUUUAUAAAGUGAGCUCUCCUACCACUUGUAUGAGCAUGAGAAGAGGAGACCUACACGCGCGCUCCUCCUCCUCGCUCGCCUCGCCACGCCACGCCUCGUCACGACGCGCCGCGGGUUGCGGGAUUGAGCCGAGCCGAGGGCAGAGCUAUGCACGUUGUCUAACGGACGCGUUAAUUACUGAAGCGUUUCCGAUUCCUUUGGAUCGUGACGACUCGGACGUGGGGUUUACUCCCACGACCUACCCGGCCCGCACUAUAUAGUCAGGCAGACGUCUACCCUAGCCGCCGCCGCUUCGUAUGGUUUCUCACAAUCGCUCCAGAUCAUUGCGCCGCCAAGCAAGUCUUCUCCAUCCCUCCUUUCGGCGUGCAUCGGGAGAAGGGACAGCAGGCCUCCGGAACCCCGCCUCUCGUGAUCCUGUAUGGGAAAGGGGCGAUCAGGUUUUUGGGGAGCGCACUCGCGCGACUGCUGGCAGCGACGACUUCUUCCCCGACCUCGGCAACCUCAUCCUCGACGACAUGGGCGACAACGUCAACGCCGGCGAUGCUGCUCCCGCUGCACCGUACGUGAUUCUAUCUUUCCUGUUUGAGAUCGUGGUACAAUUCAUGUUUCUAGUAUGUGCCCUAGAUGUGAUCUGUUCAUCUGUUAUGCUAGUUUGCAUGAUUAGUUCAAUCUUUGCUACUGUAGUCAUGAUUUAUCUUUUGUUUAUUCGGAUUAAAUCUCGUAGUAAUUUGCUCAUAUUACCAACAAGCCAUUCAUGGUAACUAAUGUGCGCCACUAGCGUCAACAGCGACAAGGUGGUACGAGCGGCCACUCCAAUCUGUGCUUCUGUCCACGUCUCCCCGAUCUCAAUCUCUUCCUCCUCGUCUCGCAGGCCGUUGCGCUCCACGAACGUCGACCUCGAACGGCGGCGCACCUCCCCCGAACUCAACCUCCAGCGGUCGUGCCCACCGUGACUAGCAUAUUGUCCGCCGGCGGCCCCGCCAAAGUCAACAUCCCCAUGUGCGCUGUCGUCCAAUAUGGCCGUGGCCUUGCCGCACUUGCUUCACGCUGGCCAUAGGUACGUACAACUCCUCUUUCCCACCAUAACACAAGAAUCCCACAUGACAUGGCUGCAGAUGCUCGCACGUGGUUUGUUAGUAUGUGGAAUAUCUCUGUUACGUGAGAACUACAUAAUACGACACUGAUCACAUACACAUAUACAAUCGAUCGGUUGAACCAUGUGAGUUCCAUAGUAUCUAUACAAUAUCUUUUUCUACUUAUCCUAAGAAUUCCAAAUAAACUUAAGAAUUCCAAAUAGCCGCUACUUUCCGUAAACUUAGAUUUCUCUUAUUUAUUUUAUGCAUGAUGGAGUUGUUAGCUUGAAGUGUAUGUGAUCUUGUUGAUAAGCUUUUAGUUGAUUCUUUCCCUUUUACAAAAUUAUUAAGCAGAAAGAAAUUAAAAGAGCAAAUAUUUUAGUUUAGUUUAACAGAAAAAGGUUGGAACUUGGAAGACACAUCAAUUCUGUCAGAGGAAUGGAUGCCCAAGUGUCCUGUGAGUUUAACUCUGAGGGGAAACCACAUCAAGAGAAAUUCAAGAUCUGUUGUCUAAAAAGGUCUACUAAACAUCUAUGCAUUUCUCUUAUUUAUUUUAUGUAGUCAUUGCUCAUUUAAAUUUCUUUCUUCAUCUCUUGAAAUUAGUACACAAACCAACCAUCUUUCCAAAAUGAUGUGCAGAAACUAUAUUCGAAGUUGGCAUGCACAACGAAGAUGAUUUAACUCAUUCAAUGCCACAUUAAUUCCUUUCUUGCAGCUCCUUGGAAAACAUGGAUUCACUGCUUUAGAAGAAAGUGAGCCUACUAAAUUUCUUGGCAGCCCCUGAGAAAACUAGGAUUCUCAUAACGGAAUCUGCAAAAUCAUCUGUAUGUUUUUUCUUUUCUUUUUUCCACAAGGUAUCUGGUCUUAGUUUAUAUACGGAUUGCACAAGAUAAUGUUUUUUGUGAUUGUACAAACACCUAUAUAUGCUUAUUUAGUUUCAAAAAGUAAUUGCAUCGUGCUCGGGUUUUGCUUUUGUUGCAGAUGCAUCCUAAAAUAAGCUUGCCAUUUUAAAGGAGAGUUCGAGCAAUUUUUUUACCAAUCUGAGCAUUUAUUUCUUUCUACAUAAUUUUACUACAAACCUUGCUCUAUUUGUAGAAAAGGUGAGCACACUUGACUUCAAUUGCUAUGCGUGGGUAGGGUUCUACUGAUAAAAAAACCUGAAUGCGAUGUUGUGAUUUGAAAUUAUUUGCUUGCCUAAAUUUGUGUUUCUUUAUCCAUCAUUAUUGUACUAGAGUUACCUGAUAUCAAGCUUCUCAUUGUGUACACCAUGCCAGAAACAGGUAUGUUCUCCAAAGUGUUGAUAGGCUAUCAAUUAUUAUGAUUUGCAUUCUACAUUUUGUUAUUAUAUUUAUUCAUGCAUGUGAUUCUUUAUUCCACCUUUGAGGUUGCGAAGCCAGAUGCUAAUGCUCCUUGACAAAAAGGGAAUAUCCAGCAACUUCUCAAACACCCAAUUCAGACCUCUCACGUGUGAGACCUAAUGUUGAAGCAAAUUCAAGUUAAGGCCCAAGUUUUUUUUUAAAACAGUCCUCUCCUAUCACUACACUACUUGGCUCUUUUAUAUUGCCUUCCAAUAUAUAUGCACUUUAUACAAAUGUUAGUUUGAUGUUUUUCUCUUACUGUCUGAUGACAGCAUGCUUUAUGACUAUAUAUUUGUAAAAAUCCUAUUAUUCCAUUGGAAAAGUAGACGGGCACGGCAACGCGCGCCAAUAAUGAUCUAGUGUGUAUAUAAAUGAGAGACUCAUCUCAUUUACCUCCAUAUUUGUUGGCAGGUCAAUGUUUCUAGAUAGGGUGCUAUUCAAUUCUAACUGAUUUAACAUAAACAUUGUGGCUAAAAAAAGGUUAAACAAUUGACAAUAUUGCAACAUAUGCAUGAGGAUCCCUCGCAAAAAAACACAUAUGCAUGAGGAUAAUAUUUGUGCCCCGUUGAAAUGCACGAGCAAUUAUCUAGGAUGAUGGGACUUAACAAAUUGUCAAAUUUGGAGGGAACACCAGAUGGAUUUGGAGCGGGCUGACAACAAGUGAAGUAAAAAUAAUAGAGUGACCAAAGAGCUGAAGUUGAGGGGCUCCUGAUAGAUCCAUUUGUUGGCCCGUCGCAAUGCACGGGCUUUCUACUAGUUUUCAUUAAUAGAUCUAUUUACCCUCAAUCUCUGGCUAAUUCUUUGGGGCGUGCUACGCUUCGGCCGGCGGAUCUUUUUAAAAGAUCCGUCGGGUUCUGAGCCGUCGAAUCUGACAUGAUCUCGCGGCCGAGCGUUACUUUUGUAACAGAAGUCGUGUUGUGAGAACCCUUUUGCAACAUAGGCCUUGUUGAAUAAAUGUCAUCGCGUAGCACAACACUAGCACACUUGUGGGAACUGUUGUUAUGGCGGCACCAGCGGUUGUGACUGAGCUCGAGGAGGCAACAACCAUGCAUGCUUGUCCACGCCGGUGCUCCCUCGGGAGGGCGGGGCGACGGCGGAUGCGGCUCCCCGUGGAUGCGGACGCCGGUUCUCUCCCGAUACGGCGGACGCGACUUGAGGACUUGGGGCAGCUACAGAUGGAACCUGCGUCCUGCGGGGAUGAGAGUUCGGAGAAAGAGAGGAAAAUGGCUGGGAGAAGACAACAGAGGUUUUUGAAGAUAAGGUAAGGGGCACAUGGCUGGUUGGGGCUAGUAAAAACAUAUGUGAACGUGUGUGGUAUGAUCAGAUGGGAUCCAAUGAUGUAUGGGCGGCGGAACGUUGUCCGUGAUCGGUGAAUGAUUUCCCUAAACUUUUUUACCAUUUGUUAAUUAAAUUUGUCAAAAUUUUAUUGUGAAAGUGGUUACGUCUCAGCCGACUGAGACUUAACCUCAGUCAAGUGAUAUAGUACAAGGAGAAAAAGAAAAUAAAAAUGAAGAAUCUUUUCUGCAUGGAUCUCCAUGCAAGAUCAAAGGAAUAUAGCAUCGAUUGAGACAAAACAAAGUCUCAGUCGACGGAGUACUUAGCAAAACUGUUUUAUUAUCAGAAUCAAUUACUUCCGAACGACCAGUAUUUUAAGCUUUUGGGCCGAAGGUGCUUUUCAUCACUGGAUUCAGGUAUGAAUCUUAGAGCAGAGGAAAUUAGCCAGGUCAGCUUUUUAUUUCGUUCGAGGAAAUUGACUACCGCCGUGAACGCUCCCCACCACCACUCCUCUGUUUCCCCGUCCCAGCCACUCCUUACCCAUUUCUCUGCCACACAGUCGCCCCAUCUAGCCCCCACCAACACCGUCCCAGCCCUUUCGUUUACUCUGGCGACGGUGUUGGCGGCGAUCCCAGCGUGGUUUAGUGGCGCUAUGUGGAGAUGGAGGCUCACGCGCAUCAUGCGGUUGGUGGAUCUCGGCUGCUGUGGCCAUGUCGAUGGCGGCGGAGGCGAGGGACCCACGCUUGCUGGUGUCGUGAUUCUAGUGGGCCGGAGCUGCUGGAGGUGAGGACCGCAGGUGCUCCUUUCCGCGUGUUGUCUCCGUCAGCCACCUCGACCCCUGGUGGAGGGGCGGUCUCAAGUCUCACCGAUAGUUUCUCGGUGCGCGGCCCUGUGUCGACGGCGGCAGAUAGACCGGCCGUAUGCCUGGUCGUGCUGCUGUUUUGGAGGGUAGGAGAUCAGGCUCGCGGGUGCCCGCGCCCGAUCUGAAGCUGGGAGGAAGACGGUCUUGUGUAGUUGUGUGUGCCCGUCGUCGCUGCAGCAGCUCCGCUCGUGCACGCCAGCAAGAGCUCCGCCGCCAGCUCCUGUCGCUUUGGGUCUUACAUCAUCUGCCGCGUCCCCAAACAUCAUCGACUGUGGCCCUAUCCGGUGAGCACCAAUCUCUCUUUUUUGCUCGUAACUAGAUGCUGCUUUGUGGCACUACAAGAAAUAUGUCAACUUGUGACCCUCGCUAUUGGGCAUUGAAAGGUCAUUGUUUUUCAUUUGCGACCUUUUUGUGACCAAAAACAAAAGGUCAAAAGCUGGCAGUCGUAAACUGAAAUUAGUGACCUUCUUUGUGAUAUGUAAAAGGUCGUUGGUUCCAUGACCAAAUUUUUGGUCACUAGCAACCUCCCCAUGCCACGUAGGCAUCCAGCGUGGCAAGCUGGUGUGACACAAGAUUCAGCCCGCUCCAAUUCGGUUUUCUACAUGGGCCUAGCCCAACAAUUCGGCCUUUUUACUGUAUAUUUUCUCUAUUAAUUUUCUCUAGCUAUAUGGGUCUGGCCCAACAAUUUGGCCUUUUUAUUUUCUAGGCAUGGCCUUUUGCGGUCCAUUUCAUUUUUAUUUUCGAGGGUUUUUUGUGGUCCAGUUUUUAGAUGGGUCCCAAUUGUCAGAUUUUUCCUGGCAGUAGAUCCACAUCGCUUUUUAAGCAGUAUAUAUAAAACAGAAAGAAGAAAAGAAUAUGAAAAUCUUCAAAUAACAACUAAAAUAGGUUUAUUACAAUAUAUUCUGUACAGAACAGGACAUGUGAAACUCCAUACACUCGUUCACAUCACAACAACCAGUUUAACCUACAAAUAUUGCAUGCCCAGGAACUUAAAACUUCAUGUACAUAACCAUACAAUAUUCCACACAAUCACAAAUAUUGUGAUUGAAAAAUAAAACACUCUGCCAAGUUAAAGCUAGCUAUUCUUGGAUACCACGGAACAUGCUCUUCAACAUAGGAAGAAGUCAUCAACGGUGUUCUAUCAACAACACAAGCUCCAUUCACCUACAAGAACAAAAUGGAAUAUCAAGUACUUGGAUCGUUCAAGCAGAUUACAACCAACAUAUAUAUAUGUAGAAGUACAUCAAGAAAUAUGAUGGAGCAAUCGGACAACAAAUACAUUAAGUAAACAACCCAACCGAUGAGUGAUGACGACAAGCAAAGAGUAUAAACCCAGGUUUGGACAUACAUAGUGUCAACUCAAGCAGAACAUAAUAAGGCAGUAAACUCAAGAAGAACAUAAUUAAGCACGAUGAAAGGGACCAUCCAAUUAAAUUCCAUUCCCAUCUUCUUCAGUAAGGACAGGCAAAACAUCCCAGCAUAUCUCAAGUCGAUGAAUUAUUCUAGCAAUAACCAAAUUAGAAACAUCCCUUGUUGUUCCAUUUAACCAUACUACAAGACUGUAGAAGAAUCACUCUUGGUGAAUCAAAUCAUAGCAAAUCGAGCAACAGAUACAAGAGGCACAUCAGGCCUAGCCAUUUUCGUUUCAGUAAUUUAGAAAGAGGGGCGAUGGGGCACGGAACCUUGAGGCCCUGUUAUGGGGUUGUGUUUGAUGAAGGUUGCCCUUUGGGGCGGCAGCUGCAGCUCCUCCAGAUGCAGCAGCAGCACCUCCAACCGGCACGACGGCGGUGACAACACAAAUGGUCACCUGUGUGACAUUUCAGAUCAUCAUUACAGAAUUUAAUUUAUUUAUUCAAGACGCAAGCAGCAAAGAUAGUGUCCACCUUCGCAUAUAGAACCGAGCAUAGAUUUACAUCACAUCAAUGAUUCAAGUAGUUCAAGACUUAAUUACUUUUUCAACAUCAGGGUAAGAGAUAUGGAACAAAAAUGCACAAAUGGUGCCUAUUGAGUUAGAGCAAGCAAUAUAAAGGGGCACAACUGUGUGAAACUGUUAUCAGCAUUGUUUCAAAGUUUACUGUGGCAUAUUUUUCAUGAUCAGUAUGACUUCUUAUAAAUAAUAACCAAUAGUACUGCCGCCAGAU
rnacentral:lncRNA from 1 species